UUUGUUAGCUGCUGUGGGGAGUGGGGUUAAGGCCUGGCUUAGCCUGGACUGCGAUAUGAUUUAUCUCUGCUGAAAUGUGUGGUUAGGAAGGUGCUAGAAGGAAUAAAAGGAUAAAGUAGUGUUCAAAGGUCUGUGAGAUCAGCAACAGAGAACUUGAGUGGAAGAGCAAGAACAAAGAUAUGAAUGUGCAGAAGAAAUAAGGUAAAAUCAAGAAGAAAGUGACUGGAAGGCUCCCAAAUGUGUGACUGCCAUGACUCUCCUGAACUCUUCCAGUUCAACCCAGAAGCAACAACUAAACUGUUUGGCGCUUACCUUCAUUAUAAAGACCUCAUGAGAAAAAGGAGUUCCUGAUACUGCAGUGAUCAAUGGGUUUGAUCCUACUCUCUGAAGUCACUGACUGAGGAUUUUAGGACUGAGCAAAGUGUUAUGAAAAUCUUGUGAGCGCUCCCUACUGACCCAGCACUAAUGCUGGGAGGAUCUGUCACUAGAAUUCAAGGGCUGUGUCAGCUACUUGGAAAUCAUAGCAGUUGGAAUCUCCAUGGACUGCUGAUGGAAAGGAAAAUGUAACAUAUGCUGUAUUCACAAAUCCUCAAGGAUAUGGGAAGAGAAGAAGCUUUCCUGUAACUUAAUUUUUAAAACACAACCUGUUUCUGGUGCUUUGAGUAACUUUAAUGAGAGUAUUCUUGAAGAGCUGUCAUUUGUUAAUUCAGUAUUCAAUUUGUCUUGCUUUUACAGUGCCAUUUAACAAGAUAGCUGCAUUAUAGCUUAAAAGGCUUUUUUUUUAAAAAAAAAAGAAAGGUUAUUUCAGGCUUUUAAAAUUCUUAUUCCCAAUCAAGCUAAAUAUUCAAGUGCUUAAAUUGUCUUAUUGUGGGACUUAUAUGUCUGAUCUUUCAUUACAUGUUUAUUUUUGGAAUAAAAGUAGCAGUCAUUCUUUUUA